rnacentral:rRNA from 1 species
GACGUAGGGUCCAAGCGUUGUCCGGAUUUACUGGGCGUAAAGAGCGCGUAGGCGGCUCGUUAAGUGUGAAGUGAAAUCUCUAGGGCUCAACCCAGAAAUUGCUUUACAUACUGGCGAGCUAGAGGGAUGCAGAGGUUUGUGGAAUUCCUGGUGUAGCGGUGAAAUGCGUAGAUAUCAUUUGGAACGCCAACGGUGAAAACAGCUGGCUGGGGGUGUGCUGACGCUGAGACACGAAAGCCAGGGGAGCGAACGGG